rnacentral:lncRNA from 1 species
GGGUGCGGCAGUUCGCGCAGGCAGGGCGAGCAGGGAGGUCUCCUCGCCGCUCUUUUGCAGCGGUCUUCCCAUCAGUACUUGUAACCUGCUUGUGAGGAACCUGGCCAUGGUAUCAACCAGGCAGAAAACCAUGGCCUCCGCAUCUCUUGCGGCCUCUCCAGCCGCAGUCACCGAUGUGGCUACUCAGACAGAGGGCUUGAGGAGACAGCCAUCCAGGUCUUGGGCUGCAGGGUGUGCCCGAGUCUUCUGUCGGUGUCUGACAGCAGCAGCAAGGGGUAUGCCUGUGGGAGAUGUGCCCAGAUUGAAGAGCUGCUCAGCCAGGUAGGGGAGCUUCGGGAGGAGGUGAGCAGGCUCAGGAGCAUCAGGGAGUCAGAGAGGGAAAUUGACUGGUGGAGGUGUACUCUACCCUCUCUGAGACAGACUCACAAGCCUGCCACAAUACAAGUGUCUCCUGCUACGCAGAAGACAAAAGUUCCUUCAUCCCACCAGGCAGUAGGAGGAGACCUAGGCCACGGGGGGGAAUGGAGGCAGGUUCCUGUUUGGGGUGGUAGGCAAGCCCUGUCCCUGCCCACUUCACCUUCCCAUCUACCCUUAUAUAACAGGUAUGAGGGUCUAGAACACGACAGUCAGAACAACGAAGUAGACAAAAGCCCGUCCCAGUUGGAGAGGAUGCCUAAGGCAAGGCAACCUACCCCCUGCAUUGCUACAUCAUCCUUCAAAAAAGAAAGAAGGGUUAUUGUCAUGGGGGACUCCCUUCUGAAAGGGACAGAGGGCCCGAUAUGCCGACCGGACCCAACCCACAGGGAAGUCUGUUGCCUCCCUGGGGCUUGGGUGAGAGACUUCGCUAAGAAAGUCACUCGCCUGGUACGGCCCACCAACUGCUACCCGCUACUGGUCUUUCAGGCUGGUAAUGAUGAGGUAGCAAGGAGAAGUCUGAGAGCGAUCAAAAGGGACUUUAGGGCUUUGGGGCGACUACUUAAAGGUUCAGGGGCACAGGUUGUGUUUGCCUCUGUCCUUCCGAUAGGGGGGAUUGAUGUUGACAAGCAGACUCAUCACAUUAAUACGUGGCUUCGGGACUGGUGCAACUGACAGAACUUUGGGUUUGUUGAUCAUGGGAAGGUCUACGUGACACCAGGCCUGCUGGCACCAGAUGGGAUAUGCCUGUCUCAGAAGGGGGAAAGGAUUUUUGCUCAGGAGUUGGCAGGGCUAAUAGAUAGGGCUUUAAACUAGACUCGAAGCGGGAAAGGGAUAAUACCAGGCACGUCGGUGAUAAGCUAAGGGAUGGUGCGCUAGAAUCAGAGGGACUGUGUGCUAGUGAGGUCUNNNNNNNNNNNNNNNNNNNNNNNNNNNNNNNNNNNNNNNNNNNNNNNNNNNNNNNNNNNNNNNNNN